GGGGCGGCGCAGCCCCGCGCGGUUGUGGGAUCGCUCCCGGGGGCCGCUCCUCUCUCGGGCACUGGGGUCGCGGGAGACGUCGUCGGGAGCUCGGUUUCUGGAGGCCCUUCCCCACCCGGCCUCUGCCUCCUCCACUCCCCCGGGCUGGACGGAACGGGGCCCAGCGCGGGAUGCGAGGGUCUUACUAUGUCACCCAGACUGAAGUGCAGUGGCAUGAUCACAGGUCAUUGCAUCCUCAACCACCCAGACUCAAGCAAUCCUCCUGUCUCAGCCUUCCAAGUAACUGAGACCACAGGUGCGUACCACCACACCUGGCUAUUUUGCUGCUGUUUGUUUUUGUAGAGAUGGGGUUUCACCACAUUGCCCAGGCUGAUCUUGAAUUCCUGGGCUCAAGCAGUCUUCCCACCUCAGCCUCCAAAAGUGCUGGGAUUAUAGGUGUGAGCCAUCGUGCCCCACCCCUGCUGGGAUUUCAGUUAAGAUUACAUUGUAUCUGUGGAACAAUUUGGGAAAAAUGGUCAUCAUCAUAUUUAGUCUUGUAGUUCAUAGACAUAGUAUAUCUCCAUUUAUUUGCGUCUUUAAUUUUCAGCAUAACAUUCAGCAAUGUUUUUAUAGUUUUAAUUGUAUAGGUGCCUUGCAUGUAUUAUGUUAAAUUUAUCCCUAACUAGUCCAUGUUUUUGAUACUAUAGUAAAUGGUGUUUGUGUGUGUGUGUGUGUAUUUUUUUUUUUUUUUUUUAGACAAAGCCUCACUCUGUCACCCAGACUGGAGUGCAGUGGUAUAAUCAUAGCUCACUACAGCCUUGACCUCCUGAGCUCAAGCAGUCCUCCUGUCUCAGCCUCCCAAGUAGCUGGGAUGACAGUGUGCACCACCACACCCAGCUAAUUUUUUUUUUUUUGGUCUUGCUGUGUUGCCCGGGCUGGACUCAAGUGAUCUUCCCUUCUCAGCCUCUCAAAGUGCUGGAAUUACAGGCAUGAGCCACCGUGCCCAGCCAGAGGUAUUGUUUUUGAUACUAUAGUAAAUAUUUUAUUUAAAUUUCCAGGUGGUUAUUGCUAGUAUGCAGAAAAUAUUUUUUUGCAUUAACCUAUGCUAAAGUCACUUACUAUUUUGAUUUGCCUUUCAUAAAGAUUCCUUAAAUGUUUCUACAUACACAAUCAUGUCAUCUGCAGAUAGACAGUUUUAUUUCUUCUUUUCAAUCUGUAUGGUUUUCUUUGCCUUUUUCUUGCCUAUUGUACUGGCUAGGACUUCCAGUGUAAUGUUUAAUAGAAAUCCUGAGACUGGACAUCCUUGCCUUAUUUUCAAUCUGAGGAGAAAGCAUUCAGUUGUUCAUCAUUAACAGACAAUGUUAGCUGAAGGUUUUUCAGAGCUUGUGUACUCUACCAGGAUGAAGAAGGUCCCUUCUAUUUCCAGUUUGCUAAGAGUUUUAAAAUUGUGAAUGGAUGGCGAAUUUUGUUAUUUUUCUGCAUCUAAUAAGAGAAUCAUAUAUGGUUUUUCUCCUUUGUUCUGUUAAUAUGGUAGGUAUGUUGAUUUUUUUAGUGUUAAAACAAGCUUGCAUUCUUGGGAUAAACCCCACUUAGUCAUGAUGCAUUAUCCUUGUUAUAUAUUGCUGAAUUCAGUUUGCCAAAAAUUUAACUAAGGAUGUUUGCAUCUGUAUUCAGUGAGGUAUACUGUAUUCAGUGAGGUAUUCCUUUCAAUGUCAUUGUCUGGGCUCAGACAAUGACUAGAGAAGUCAUCUUUCUUUGUUUUUAGAAUGAGUUUGUGUGUGUUUGUUAUUAUUUUUCCUUAAAUAUUUGAUAGAAUUUACUGCUGAAGCCACCUCAGUCUGAAGUUUCUUUGCAGGAAGUUUUAAUUCAUAAUUAAAUUUCCUUAGCAUAUAUAGGGCUUUUUUCUUUUUUCUUUUUUUGAGACAGAGUGUCACAGUGUCUCCCGGGCUGGAGUGCAAUGGCGCGAUCUCAGCUUACUGCAGCCUUUGCCUCCCGGGUUCAAGCAAUUCUCCUGCCUCAACCUCCCAAGUAGCUGGGAUCACAGGCGCCUACCACCAUGCCCAGCUAAUUUUUUGUAUUUUCAGUAGAGACAGGGUUUCACUAUGUUGGCCAGGCUGGUCCCAAACUCCUGAGAUGAGGAUAAUUUUUUGUAUUUUUAGUAGAGACGGGGUUUCACUAUGUUGGCCUGGCUGGUCUCAAACUCCUGACCUCGUAAUUCACCCACCUCGGCCUCCCAAAGUGCUGGGAUUACAAGUGUGAGCCACCGUGCCUGGCCUUCUUUCUAGUUUCUUGAAUCACUAUGGUUAAUCUGUGGCAUUCAACCAAUUUGUCCAUUUUAUCUAUGCCAUUGAAUUUAUUUACAUAAUUAUAAUCUUUUUUUGUUUUAAUGUCUGCAAGAUCUGUGGUGAUAUCUAUUUCAUUCCUAAUGUUGGUAAUUUUUUCUUUUCCUGCUUGCUCUUAUUGUUUGUUUGUUUGUUUGUUUGUUUUGAGAUAGGUUCUCAUUCUGUCACCCAGACCAGGCUGGAAUACAGUAGCGAUCAUAACUCACUCAGCCCCAAACUCCUGGUCUCAGGCAGUCCUCCUGCCUCAGCGUUUCAAAUUGUUGGGAUUACAGGCAUGAGCCACUGUGUUCAGCCUCUUUUAAUUCCUAUAUGUAUUAGCCAGUUGAGGUGGCUUGCUUGAACCCAAGAGUUCUGGGCAACACAGCAAGACCUCAUCUCUACAAAUAAUUUUAAAAAUUAGCUGGGGCAUGGUGGCGCACACCUCUGGUCUCAGCUACUUGAGAGGCUGAGACAGGUGGAUCACUUGAGCCCAGGCAGUCAAGGCUUCGGUGAGCCGUGAUCCCGCCACUGCACUCCGGCCCAGGUGACACUAUGAGACUCUGUCUCAAAAAAAUAAACUAUAGAAAAUCUGAGUAGCCCUAUAUGUAGUAAGGAAAUUUAAUUAUCAGUUAAACUGUCACCUGGGUAACAGAGUGAGACCACGUCUCAAGGGAAGGGGAGGGGAGGGGAGGGUCUUGUAUUUAUUAUUUCCUUCCUUUUACUUGGUUUUACUUUGGUUUAAUUUGGUUUACAUUGGUUUAAUUUGUUCUUCUUUUACUAUUUUUUUUUUACUGAAUCAUCAUUAUUGUUCUACCACUCGAAUCACCGCAUUGCUGUUGCUAAAUGACCAAUAGACCAACAGAUCCUUCCAUAGAAACAAAAAAAAGCCCUUGCUUUUCAAUAUUACCAAAGGGAAACAUAUAGUCAGAACUGCAAGAAAACUGCCUUGUGAUCCGGCUUCUGUCACAUUUUAGUUUACAAUACAGGAGCAUAAAGUAGCUACUCAACUACCUCGAAAAUAAGAGAAUCAUUUACCUUUCUGUAUAUAACCUAAUUAAAACCAUGUCAGAUCCAGCAAAACUGAUUUUCAUCUCUCCUCAGUAGAUAUAGGAGUAUAUAUUGAUAUUUCUACUUCAUGACUAGAUAGGGGACUAAAUUAAAAUUCGCUACUCAGUUCUCAGUUGUAAGGCCCACAGUUGCACAUGGGUAGGUGGGUAGUUGCACAUGCACAGAGUUGGUGGUCACAACUCUGCUUUCUUGCCCUUCUGCUUAACAUGGAGCUAUUUAAUCUUAUUUAUUUAUUUAUUUAUUUAUUUAUUUAGAAAUAGGGUCUGCUCUGUCACCUUGGCUGGAGUGCAGUGGCACAAUCAUGGCUCACUGCAGCCUAGAACUCCUGGGCUCAAGUGAUGUUCCCACCUUAGCCUCCUGAGUAGCUGGGACUAUAGACACACACAACCACGCUCUGCCAAUUUUGAAAUUUUUUGUAGAAAUGAGGUCUCCCUAUGUUGCCCAGGCUGGUCUUGAACUCCUGGCCUCAAGCAGUCCUCCCACCUCAGCCUCCCAAGUGCUAGGAUUACAGGCAAGAGCCACAGCGCCAGGCUGGAACUAUGUAAGAUAGCACUUAGCCCUGCAUGUAUGUGUUACUAACAAUGGUUGUGUAGAUCACUCCUCCAAAGGGAAAGUCUCUCUAGAUGGGUUUUUGCCCCAAUUAAGCAAUAGCUUCCUCCAAACGGUGCUCACCUAUCCAUUGACUGCGAUAUUUGAAGACAAAGUGAGUCUUCACUCACCAUCACCAUUCCCCACGUCCCCUUUCCCUGGGAGCGCACACACUUAGGAGGGCAGUGCUGCUUCCUCCACAGCAGUGACAGCUGGCCAGGAUUUAUGAAAUGUCUCUCAAGGAAAUGUGCUCUCUUCCAUGCUCAGAGAUGCCACGUGGUCACAGUGCAGUCUUCAUGCAGUUGUAGCUUAGACUUCCAGAUUCAAAGGUCAGAAACCAGCUUGGAAUUUUCCUGGUCCUAACUCAAACCUGGCAUAAGUCAAAGUUUAAAUCCAACAGGUUCCAAAGGAAAUCAGAUUAAACACAUGUGCUGCUUGGUCAUGCAAGGACCCUGGAGUAGAAAAGUAGGUAUUGCCGUCUUGGUCAUGAAAGCCACAACAUCACCAGCAAGAGGACAGGCACUUAGAUCUGUUCACUGCUGUGCCCUCAACUCCUGGAAUAGGACCUGGUGCAGAGUGUGAUCAGAAAGUAUUUAUUGAGUUUCAGGUACAGUGGCUCAUGCCUGUAAUCCUAACACAUUGGAAGACCAAGGUGGGAGGAUCACUUGAGCCCAGGAGUUUGAGACCAGCCUGGGUGACACAGGGAGACCCUAUCUCUAUAAAAAAUAAACUUAAAAAAAAAUUGGGCCCUGCACAAUGGUUCACGCCUGUAAUCCCAGCUCUUUGGGAAACUGAAGCGGAUGGAUCAUCUGAGGUCAGGAAUUCGAGACCAGCCUGGCCAACAUGGUGAAACCCCCAUCUCUACUAAAAAUAGAAAAAUUAGCCGGGCGUGGUGGCGGGCACCUGUAAUCCCAGCUACUCGGGAGGCUGAGGCAGGAGAAUCACUUGAACCCAAGAGGUGGAGGUUGCAGUGAGGCGAGAUUGCACCACUGCACUCCAGCCUGGGCAACAGAGCGAGACUUGGUCUACACGCUUUGUAAUCUAAAACAUUCUCUACCAAUACCUCAAUCAGUGAAUUCUUGCUUUAUUGAUACAUUCUAGUAUUCAGUUGUGAUUUUAAUAUGCUAUUUUGGUACUUUCUGCUUUCAGUUUUCAUUGCUGUGGCUAUUGCCUUAAACAGAAACAAAAAACUAAAACAAUUUUACAACCAUCCAAAAGAGGCUUGGAAACUUUUUUUUGGCUGGAUAUCCAUAGCACAAUUUAAUUCAGUAAACAUAAACAGUUAAAAUUAUUCCAGUACACAACCAUGUUUUAAAAAAGAGAUUACACCCAAUUUUGGCAACAACACCCAGGAAAUAAGCAUUCUUUUACAUUUGGUUCAAACUUUCUGAAUGGCAGUUGUGCAACACUUGUUGUGAAAAACUUUAGAAUAUUAUAAACAUGUUAAUCCUGUAUUUCCAUUUCUGUGAAUUCAUCCAAAAGAAAUAACCAUGGAUAUGGGUAGAGACAGAGCCAUAUGGAAUGCACACUGCAGUGGUGAACACAUGGCCCAGCUCUGCCAUCAAGGAGAAGGAACAUGAAUGGAGCUGGAGGCCAUCAUCCUUAGUGAACUAACACAGGAGCAGAAAACCAAAUACCACAUGUUCUCAUGUGUAAGUGGGAGCUAAAUGAUGAGAACACAUGGACACAAAGAGGGGAACAACAGACACUGAAGCCUCCUUGAGGGAGGAGGGUAAGAGGAAGGAGAAGAUCAGAAAAGAUAACUACCAGGUACUAUGGUAGCUUAGUACCUGGGUGAUGAAAUAAUCUGUACACCCAACCCUCAUGACAGAAGUUUACCUGUGUAACAAACCUGCACAUGUAUCCCUGAAACUAAAAGUUUUUUAAAAAGUUAUUUAAUAUAUAUAUAUUUUUUUGAGACGGAGUUUUGCUCUUGUUGCCCAGGCUGGAGUGCGGUGGCGCAAUUUCGGCUCACCACAACCUCCGCCUCCCAGGUUCAAGCUAUUCCCCUGCCUCAGCCUCCCUAGUAGCUGGGAUUACAGGCUUGUGCCACCACGCCGGCUAAUUUUGUAUUUUUUGUAGAGACGGGGUUUCUCCAUGUUGGUCAGGCUGGUCUCGAACUCCCGACCUCAGGUGAUCCACCCCCCUCGGCCUCCCAAAGUGCUAGGAUUACAGGCAUGAGCCACUGCGCCCGGCAAAAAGUUAUUUAAUAUUAAUGGGACAAUACUCAUUGCAAGAAUCAGACUUCAAUUGCUAGCAUAAGUAAAUGACAGGCAGGAGAUAUUGAAAAUGCAAUCUUAUAGACAUUCAAGGAGAGGACGCAGGACAUUUCUGUGUCAUAAAUGUACUAUGGAAAAUAAAAAUGAGAAAAAUGGAAAUAAAAUACAAGAAAAGGUUAUGAUAAAUUUCAUAUUAUUUUACCACAAUAAAAAAAUUUUAAUAAAUUAUAAAUGGUGUGAUAUGUUUUGCCUGUGUUCCACCCAAAUCUCAUCUUGAAUUAGAGCUCCCACAAUUCCCACGUGUUGUGGCUGGGACCCUGUGGGAGAUAAUUGAAUCAUGGGGGCAGUUUACCCCAUACUGUUCUCUUGGUGGUGAAUAAGUCUCAUGAGAGUUGAUGGUUUGAUAAGGGGUUUCCCCUUUUGCUUGGCUCUCAUUCUCUCUUGACUGCCACCAUGUAAGAUGUGCCUUUUGCCUUCCACCAUGAUUGUGAAGCCUCCCAGCCACAUGGAACUGUGAGUCCAUUAAACCUUUUUCUUUACAAAUUACCCAGUCUCGAGUAUGUCUUUAUCAGCAGUGAGAGAACAGACUAAUAUGAGUGUGAUCUAAUUAACAUAAAGGGAGAAUGAGGA
rnacentral:lncRNA from 1 species